rnacentral:rRNA from 1 species
GUGAACGCUGGCGGUAGGCCUAACACAUGCCAGUCGAACGGCAGCACAGUAAGAGCUUGCUCUUACGGGUGGCGAGUGGCGGACGGGUGAGGAAUACAUCGGAAUCUACUUUUUCGUGGGGGAUAACGUAGGGAAACUUACGCUAAUACCGCAUACGACCUACGGGUGAAAGCAGGGGAUCUUCGGACCUUGCGCGAUUGAAUGAGCCGAUGUCGGAUUAGCUAGUUGGCGGGGUAAAGGCCCACCAAGGCGACGAUCCGUAGCUGGUCUGAGAGGAUGAUCAGCCACACUGGAACUGAGACACGGUCCAGACUCCUACGGGAGGCAGCAGUGGGGAAUAUUGGACAAUGGGCGCAAGCCUGAUCCAGCCAUACUGCGUGGGUGAAGAAGGCCUUCGGGUUGUAAAGCCCUUUUGUUGGGAAAGAAAAGCAGCAGGUUAAUACCCCGCUGUUCUGACGGUACCCAAAGAAUAAGCACCGGCUAACUUCGUG